CGCGUAGGCGGGUAUUUAAGUCAGAUGUGAAAGCUCCGGGCUUAACUUGGAGAGUGCAUUUGAAACUGGAUAUCUUGAGGGCAGGAGAGGAAAGUGGAAUUCCUAGUGUAGCGGUGGAAUGCGUAGAUAUUAGGAGGAACACCAGUGGCGAAGGCGACUUUCUGGACUGUACCUGACGCUGAGGCGCGAAAGCAUGGGGAGCAAACGG
rnacentral:rRNA from 1 species